AAGGACUUAAGUUAAAAUAAACUAAUAACCUUCAAAGUUAUAAAUGAAAUAUAAUAAUAUUUUAGGCCUUA
rnacentral:tRNA from 1 species